UACGUAGGGUGCGAGCGUUGUCCGGAAUUAUUGGGCGUAAAGAGCUCGUAGGCGGUGUGUCGCGUCGGCCGUGAAAACCUGCAGCUUAACUGUGGGCUUGCGGUCGAUACGGGCAUCACUGGAGUUCGGCAGGGGAGACUGGAAUUCCUGGUGUAGCGGUGAAAUGCGUAGAUAUCUGGAGGAACACCGGUGGCGAAGGCGGCAUCCUGGACCGGUAUUGACGCUGAGGCGCGAAAGCUAGGGGGAGCAAAC
rnacentral:rRNA from 1 species